rnacentral:rRNA from 1 species
GGAGGGCAAGUCUGGUGCCAGCAGCCGCGGUAAUUCCAGCUCCAAUAGCGUAUAUUAAAGUUGUUGCAGUUAAAAAGCUCGUAGUUGGAUUUCUGUUAAUAAUUUAUAUAAAAUAUUUUGAUGAAUAUUUAUAUAAUAUUAACAUAAUUCAUAUUACUAUAUAUUUUAGUAUAUGAAAUUUUACUUUGAGAAAAUUAGAGUGCUUAAAGCAGGCAUAUGCCUUGAAUACUCCAGCAUGGAAUAAUAUUAAAGAUUUUUAUCUUUCUUAUUGGUUCUAAGAUAAGAAUAAUGAUUAAUAGGGACAGUUGGGGGCAUUUGUAUUUAACAGUCAGAGGUGAAAUUCUUAGAUUUGUUAAAGACAAACUAAUGCGAAAGCAUUUGCCAAGGAUGUUUUCAUUAAUCAAGAACGAAAGUUAGGGGAUCGAAGACGAUCAGAUACCGUCGUAGUCUUAACCAUAAACUAUGCCAACUAGAGAUUGGAGGUUGUUCCUUACUC